UACGUAGGUGGCAAGCGUUGUUCGGAAUUAUUGGGCGUAAAGGGCGCGUAGGCGGUCUUGUAAGUCAGCUGUGAAAGCCCGGGGCUCAACCCCGGAGGGUCGGCUGAUACUGCAGGACUGGAGUACGGAAGAGGUAGCUGGAAUUCCUGGUGUAGCAGUGAAAUGCGUAGAUAUCAGGAGGAACACCAACGGCGAAGGCAGCUCUCUGGGACGUUACUGACGCUGAGACGCGAAAGCGUGGGGAGCAAACAGG
rnacentral:rRNA from 1 species